rnacentral:rRNA from 1 species
CCUACGGGAGGCAGCAGUGGGGAAUAUUGCACAAUGGGCGAAAGCCUGAUGCAGCGACGCCGCGUGAGGGAUGACGGCCUUCGGGUUGUAAACCUCUUUCAGCAGGGAAGAAGCGAGAGUGACGGUACCUGCAGAAGAAGCGCCGGCUAACUACGUGCCAGCAGCCGCGGUAAUACGUAGGGCGCAAGCGUUGUCCGGAAUUAUUGGGCGUAAAGAGCUCGUAGGCGGCUUGUUGCGUCGGUUGUGAAAGCCCGGGGCUUAACCCCGGGUCUGCAGUCGAUACGGGCAGGCUAGAGUGUGGUAGGGGAGAUCGGAAUUCCUGGUGUAGCGGUGAAAUGCGCAGAUAUCAGGAGGAACACCGGUGGCGAAGGCGGAUCUCUGGGCCAUUACUGACGCUGAGGAGCGAAAGCGUGGGGAGCGAACAGGAUUAGAUACCCUGGUAGUCCACGCCGUAAACGUUGGGAACUAGGUGUUGGCGACAUUCCACGUCGUCGGUGCCGCAGCUAACGCAUUAAGUUCCCGCCUGGGGAGUCGGCCGCAAGGCUAAAACUCAAAGGAAUUGACGGCNGAGAGNGCGACGCGACGACGAGGAGAG